rnacentral:rRNA from 1 species
AUAUUACUAAGCGGAGGAAAGGAAAUCAACGAAGAUUGCCUCAGUAGCGGCGAGUGAAGCGGCAAUAGCUCAAAUUUGAAAUCUAGCUCUUUCAGGGUCCGAGUUGUAAUUUGUAGAAGAUGCUUUGGGUGUAGCUCCGGUCUAAGUUCCUUGGAACAGGACGUCAUAGAGGGUGAGAAUCCCGUAUGUGACUGGUGGCUUUCGCCCGUGUAAAGCUCUUUCGACGAGUCGAGUUGUUUGGGAAUGCAGCUCAAAAUGGGUGGUAUAUUUCAUCUAAAGCUAAAUAUUGGCCAGAGACCGAUAGCGCACAAGUA